GUAUUGCUCAUUUCACAGCUCGGGGAUCAGCUAGGUCUGCGUUGGAGAACAGAUGCCCGACAGGAAGAGAAGAGCUGAAGGGUCAGAGACCUGAUCUUAAACUAGGGGGGUCAUGGAGAGUACAGAAACAGUUCUAUGGCUACAUAGCCACAUAGUGAGUUGUGCCAAAGGGCUGGACAGUACCACCCAGUCAUCCAACUGGCUGAGAUAGCUUGUAGCAUCUUUCACUGGACCGGAGUUGAACUGUGUUGCUGAAAUUCUGGAAAGUGUUUCGAUUCUGUGAGCCCCUGUGCCUCCCCUCCUCCCCCAUUUCAGCUUUUUCUGAUCCUUGCCACUGUUCCCAGUAAAGGUCGUCUGCAUUCUCUAA
rnacentral:lncRNA from 1 species